UAAGCGGAGGAAAAGAAACUAACAAGGAUUCCUCUAGUAACUGCGAGUGAAGCGGGAAAAGCUCAAAUUUAAAAUCUGGCGGUCUCUGGCCGUCCGAGUUGUAAUUUAGAGAAGCGUCUUCCGCGCCGGACCGUGCACAAGUCUCCUGGAAUGGAGCGUCAUAGAGGGUGAGAAUCCCGUCUUUGGCACGGAUGCCUGUGCUUCUGCGAUGCGCUCUCGAAGAGUCGAGUUGUUUGGGAAUGCAGCUCAAAAUGGGUGGUGAACUCCAUCUAAAGCUAAAUAUUGGCGAGAGGCCGAUAGCGAACAAGUACCGUGAGGGAAAGAUGAAAAGCACUUUGGAAAGAGAGUGAAACAGUACGUGAAAUUGUUGAAAGGGAAACGCUUGAAGUCAGUCGCGUCGACCGAGACUCAGCCUUGCCUUGGCUUGGUGUACUUCUCGGCCCGACGGGUCAGCAUCAAUUUUGCCCCUCGGAUAAUGGCAAGGGAAAGAUGGCACCUUUUCGGGUGUGUUAUAGUCUCCUGUCGCAUGCGAGGGGUGGGAUUGAGGAACUCAGCGCGCACCUUGGUGUCGGGGCUUCGGCCCACGUCACGCGCUUAGGAUGCUGGCGUAAUGGCUUUAAACGACC
rnacentral:rRNA from 1 species